AACUGACGACUAAAGGUCACCAUGAAUGAAAUAAUAAUCAACACAAGACUGAGUAAAUAGUACACAGAGUGAGAUCAUGUGACUUCAAAUCUUCGCACACAACCGCAAUGAAGAGUGUACCGUGUGGGAAAGAAUCAAGAGAUCAACAGAACUUAAGAGAAAACUUAGAAAUAAAGACGCAAUUAAUAUAGAGUCAAUUGUGACACACGAGGCCAGGAAACCCUAAGUCUGGCCCUGCUGACACUCGUGACUGGACCAGCCUGGCAUCCCCAUGCAGAUGUGUUAAUGACGCAAACCUUACGUCCUGCACAGAAUUAACUGCAGACGGAUCUACACCUGAAUGUUCAGUGACAAGCGCAGAACUUCCAGAAGACACUAGAGAGACCAGGGCUCUGUCAGUUACCAAUCUGCCUUCCCUGGCGACUAGGAUAGCGGCGCCUGCACUUGCUUUGCAUGGUGACGUCACAAUAAGGAACUAUCCACACAGCAUACCCCCCCAUCCCCGUGUUCUGCGCAGGCGCAGCCGCAAUCUACAGAUGCAGCUUAUUCAGAGGCCGCAGGACCCGGGAGUUACAGGAACACUAAGGACCUCGGGGAACUCACGUGACCCCACCGGGCACGGCGUCAGGGCGCCGGUUCCCACAGCCCGGUGAGGACCCCACACCGGCGCCGGUUCCCACAGCCCCGGGACCCCACACCGGCUCCCGAGCCUCCUCCCCGGGUGGGGACGGCGGCCGCUCACUCACCAUGGCCGAUUCCGAGCUCGCCCCGCUCUCCUCGCAGCUCCCGGCAGCCGGUCACAGCGCAGGACAUGGAACACCAGCGGCUCCCUCAACCCAGAGCCGGGGAGCCUGCAGCAUGGCAGACUGGAAGUGCCCGCCCCAUUCUGACUGGCAGUCCGGCUGGAGGCCAUGAUUGGCUAGUGAUGCCUGAGUGAUAGGAGCAGCUCCUUUGGGGACAGAGUGCUGUGAAGUGAGGCAGCAGAAUGAUUCCCAGCCCUGGCUUCCACCCUAGGCACAGAGCUGCCCCAGACCUGCAGAGAUUGGCAACACAGCCGCACUCACGCCUGGACUGCAAAGUCCCAGCUCUUUUCCUGCACUCAGUAGGCACGCCCCCUUCUUCCUCCUGGACACAGGAUUUUAGGUCUCAAACCGAGGACAGACAGCUGAGGAACCUGUUUAACGUACUGAAGCAAUUUUAGGAGAAAGUAUCUGAACUCAGAUGUUACCCAGUAGGGCCAGAGGACCAGGUGCUCUGGUAGAAGCUCCACCUCAGUCCCUGCCAUCCAUAUCAUAUACCUAAAGAGUCUGGGAUGAUCAGGUGGAAGUCUCCCCUCUCUCUCCUCAGACCCGCCAAACAGAAGCUCCUCCCCUAGAGUUGCCCUCCUAUUACCCCCACCCCCUCAAAGGCCACCAAAAGCCAGCCCCUCCAUGGGGCUACUCAAGACCAUGCCUACAAGUUAUUUAAGGCCUGGCAGCCAUAUUUGCCAUGGGACUUCCCCUGCCUUUCCAAGGGUCACCCAGGAUUGUUUUGCUCUGUUCAUUAAAUCUGGAUUUAUUAA